rnacentral:rRNA from 1 species
UGAGUACGAGAUGCUACGGCAUCGAAGCAGUCUAUGUCAUACUUCCAAGAAAAGCUUGCAAUGUCAUAAACAAAUAAUGCCUGUACCAUAACCGACACAGGUGGGUAGGUAGAGUAUACUAAGGGGCGCGAGAUAACUCUCUCUAAGGAACUCGGCAAAAUGACUCCGUAACUUCGGGAGAAGGAGUGCCUUAUUUUUAUAAGGUUGCAAUAACAAGAUCCAAGCAACUGUUUACCAAAAACACAGGUCUCCGCUAAGUCGUAAGACGAUGUAUGGGGGCUGACGCCUGCCCAGUGCCAGAAGGUUAAAGAAGUUGGUUAGCAUUAGCGAAGCUGAUAACUGAAGCCCUGGUGAACGGCGGCCGUAACGAUAACGGUCCUAAGGUAGCGAAAUUCCUUGUCGGGUAAGUUCCGACCCGCACGAAAGGCGUAAUGAUUUGGAUACUGUCUCGGAGAGGGGCUCGGUGAAAUAGACUUGUCUGUGAAGAUGCGGACUACCUGCACCUGGACAGAAAGACCCUGUGAAGCUUUACUGUAACUUGAGAUUGAAAUUGGACUUUAUCUGCGCAGUAUAGGUGGGAGACGUUGAAAAUAUUCUUGCGGGAAUAUUGGAGUCAUCAGUGAGAUACCACUCUUAUAAUGUUAGAUUUCUAACUUUGUAUCAUUAUCUGGUCAAAGAACAGUUUCAGGCGGGCAGUUUGACUGGGGCGGUCGCCUCCCAAACGGUAACGGAGGCGCACAAAGGUUUCCUCUGAACGUGUAGAAAUCGUAUCUAGAGUGUAAAGGCAUAAGGAAGCUUGACUGUGAGACCUACAAAUCGAGCAGGGACGAAAGUCGGUCUUAGUGAUCUGACGGUGCUGAGUGGAAAGGCCGUCACUCAACGGAUAAAAGUUACUCUAGGAUAACAGGCUGAUCUCCCCCAAGAGUUCACAUCGACGGGGAGGUUUGGCACCUCGAUGUCGGCUCAUCGCAUCCUGGGGCGGUAGUACGUCCCAAGGGUUGGGCUGUUCGCCCAUGAAAGCGGUACGCGAGCUGGGUUCAGAACGUCGUGAGACAGUUCGGUCCAUAUCCGGUGUAGGCGUUAGAAUAUUGAGAGGAGCCUUCUUUAGUACGAGAGGACCGAGAAGGACAUACCUCUGGUGUACCAGUUAUCGUGCCAACGGUAAACGCUGGGUAGCCAUGUAUGGAGAGGAUAACCGCUGAAAGCAUCUAAGUGGGAAGCCCACCUCAAGAUAAG